rnacentral:rRNA from 1 species
UACGAAGGGGGCGAGCGUUGUUCGGAUUUACUGGGCGUAAAGGGCGCGCAGGCGGCUCAUUUUGUCAGGCGUGAAAGCCCCGGGCUUAACCUGGGAGGUGCGUUUGAUACGGAUGGGCUAGAGUUCGGGAGAGGAGAGUGGAAUUCCCAGUGUAGAGGUGAAAUUCGUAGAUAUUCGCAAGAACACCGGUGGCGAAGGCGGCCAACUGGACCAUUACUGACGCUGAGGCGCGAAAGCGUGGGGAGCAAACAGG